GGGAGAAGGCACGCUGGUGUGUAGGUGAAGUCCCUGCGGAUGGAGCUGAGACCAGUCGAAGAUACCAGCUGGCUGCAACUGUUUAUUAAAAACACAGCACUGUGCAAACACGAAAGUGGACGUAUACGGUGUGACGCCUGCCCGGUGCCGGAAGGUUAAUUGAUGGGGUUAUCCGUAAGGAGAAGCUCUUGAUCGAAGCCCCGGUAAACGGCGGCCGUAACUAUAACGGUCCUAAGGUAGCGAAAUUCCUUGUCGGGUAAGUUCCGACCUGCACGAAUGGCGUAAUGAUGGCCAGGCUGUCUCCACCCGAGACUCAGUGAAAUUGAACUCGCUGUGAAGAUGCAGUGUACCCGCGGCAAGACGGAAAGACCCCGUGAACCUUUACUAUAGCUUGACACUGAACAUUGAGCCUUGAUGUGUAGGAUAGGUGGGAGGCUUUGAAGCGUGGACGCCAGUCUGCGUGGAGCCAACCUUGAAAUACCACCCUUUAAUGUUUGAUGUUCUAACGUUGGCCCCUUACCGGGGUUGCGGACAGUGUCUGGUGGGUAGUUUGACUGGGGCGGUCUCCUCCCAAAGCGUAACGGAGGAGCACGAAGGUUAGCUAAUCCUGGUCGGACAUCAGGAGGUUAGUGCAAUGGCAUAAGCUAGCUUGACUGCGAGCGUGACGGCGCGAGCAGGUGCGAAAGCAGGUCAUAGUGAUCCGGUGGUUCUGAAUGGAAGGGCCAUCGCUCAACGGAUAAAAGGUACUCCGGGGAUAACAGGCUGAUACCGCCCAAGAGUUCAUAUCGACGGCGGUGUUUGGCACCUCGAUGUCGGCUCAUCACAUCCUGGGGCUGAAGUAGGUCCCAAGGGUAUGGCUGUUCGCCAUUUAAAGUGGUACGCGAGCUGGGUUUAGAACGUCGUGAGACAGUUCGGUCCCUAUCUGCCGUGGGCGCUGGAGAAUUGAGGGGGGCUGCUCCUAGUACGAGAGGACCGGAGUGGACGCAUCACUGGUGUUCGGGUUGUCAUGCCAAUGGCACUGCCCGGUAGCUAAAUGCGGAAGAGAUAAGUGCUGAAAGCAUCUAAGCACGAAACUUGCCCCGAGAUGAGUUCUCCCUGAGACUUUAAGUCUCCUGAAGGAACGUUGAAGACGACGACGUUGAUAGGCCGGGUGUGUAAGCGCAGCGAUGCGUUGAGCUAACCGGUACUAAUGAACCGUGAGGCUUAACCUU
rnacentral:rRNA from 1 species